UCGAAAUUUACAGCCGUGCGAUCUAUGGUGAACAUCUCACAUCUCACCCUACAGUCGUAAAGAGGUAAAAAAAGAUGGAGCCUUCCUAUGACCUCUCGAAGCCUCUGCACAGCCCUUCGAUCCUCCGCGUGAUUCCUUUCCUUUCUCUCACCGUCGAGACCGAUGUGGUCGUGCCGGCGAGGCCCCUUUUCUCCGCUACCUCUUCCUACUAAUCCCCGCCGCCGGCGUUUGCCGUCGGUUCCUACCACCUCCGAUUUCCCACUUCCGUAUCUUUCUGCUCCUCCAUCCAAGCGCCGCCUCUCUCCGGCUAAUCCCUUCCGCCUGCCUCUACCGGCUCCAUCCAAGCGGCUGCCCACGACGUUGAUCUACCAUCCCGUGGGAAGCGGCCUCCGCCCGCUCCAUUCAUGCUGCGGCCGCUCAUGUCUGCACUCCAUCUCGAUACGUCUCUCCGCCUAAUCGCGGCCGUGCCUCUUCGCCAAAUCCUCGCUGUCGGCGAUUUCCACCGCCUGAUUCCGCCAGCGGCGCCCUUCCUCCGCUCCAUCCACGUCGUGGUGGGCUGGUCGCCCUCGGCGGCUUCCUACCUCCCUCUUGCAUUUCCCAACCCUUCUGCACCUUUUGUCACCUCGCCGCGUCACUGCUUCGCAUGGCAGCGGUGGCACCAUCUGCCUAUCAGCUAAUUGGAAGCAAAGGAAGCUAUUUAGUUUUUGAAUUUGCUGGGAUUUUACUUGAUCAAAUGGAACUGAUGGAAGGAGCUGAUAAGGAUGGCAGCGCUCUGAACAAUUACUGGAUUAGCAAGGCUCUUAAGUUUUCCCCAUUCAGGACGGUGCAAAUUGCAGUAAAUAUAAAUAUUGGCCUGAAUGUAGCAAUUAACUUCAUAAUCUGCUUUGAAUCAAUGGCAAGGUGAUGGAAGACAAAGGUCUAUGAUAAUUUGCCGUGUUAAGCUUA